AAAUAUUUGUUAAUAGAGCCACCAUCCCACUAGACUAAAUGAAACGAGAUUUAACACUUCAAAACAUUUUCAGAAGAAAGCAGAUUGUCAGCAGAGUCUCCUUCGCAUGAAAAGAUAGACAGCAAGUCCAAGGAGUUUGUACAUCAAGAUAGUGAUGGAUUUGAUGAAUCAAAUGAUGAGACUCCCUUUGAAUUCAUUGAAGUGAAAGAUGAGCCUUUGGAUGACUGGGGAGAUUCUGAUGAUUUCAGUGGGCAUGUUAACCCACUGGAAAUUAAGGAAGAAUCAUGGUGAUAUUUUUGAUAGUCAGGACUAGCGGCUUUAUCUUUACACAAAAUACUUGGACCCUGAGUUGGAUCCAGUGUUGAAAUCAGUCACUUGGUGCAAAGGGCGGGUAAUAAUCAUUCCAGAUAAACCACUUUGUCUGAGGAUCCACUGGUAUAACAUUGGAGAAAACUUACGGCACGUGAAAGGACUCAGCAGUUGUCCCUGCUUUUAUUUAUAUUAAUUUUAGACAAAGAGAGAUGAAUUAUAAAGAAAUAUAUUAGUAUACAUAAGCAUCCUGCAAUAUCUGUAUAUGAAAAGUGAUAUAAUAUAAUGUACUGUUAUAAGCCACACAUUUUUUUGGUGAGCUUUUUUUGAAUGCUCUGCAUUGAACCUAUGGCUGUAAGAGUGAGGAAUGCAGGGGACAGAUGGAUGAAGGAGAAACAUUUUUUUGAAUGUUCAGAACCUGUAUAAUAAUUGCUUUGUUGUUUGAUGUUUAUACAUUUCCUUCUUGUAUUGAAGUUAAUAAAUGAAUUAUAUUUUCUAA